AUGAUCACACUCUUUGUGGCUCUUUACUCUCUGCUUUGUCUCUGCACAACUGGAAACACUUCUGACAUCAAGGAGCCUCACGUAAAAACAGUCAAGCUGGGAGAAAAUGUAACAAUGGAGUGUAACGUUAGUGGGAAUAAAGAUAAUGUAUUUUGGUACAGACAGAGAUUCGGAGAAAUGCCUCAGUUUUUAGCAAAACCAUACAAGAACGCUAAGGGCUACACAUUUGCAGAGGAAUUUAAUGAUAGACGCUUCAGUGUUACUGUAAAUGGCAGUAAAUUUGAUCUCAACAUUAAUGGAACAAAUAAAAGUGACAGAGGAGACUAUCUCUGUGUAAAUCUUGACGGAACUACACCAAAGUUCACAUCUGGAACACGUCUGCAGUUUGAAGGUGAAGAGAUGAAACCCUGUCCUACACCUGGAACACUUAACAAGAACACACACUCUGUUACACACCAGGGUUCAAACAGCAGAGAUGGAGAAGGAGCUCAGUAUUGUAGGCUGUUGCACUGA